GUUAUCCUCUUCAUACGAUAAACUUCACUCUUCCUUUGUCCAUUCAAUCUCAUGAAUAUCUUCUCAUCAAUAUCUUCUCCUAUACCAAUAAAUAAUUUCGAUUUCCAAUUCAACAAUCAUGGAACCAGCCCGACUUCUUGAUCGAUUUGGCUUCAAAUUAAAAAAUAUCUCAUGAUUUCUAUCUUUUUCCCAAAUUUCAUUAGGAGCUAAUGGAUGUGCCUAUUUUACCUGGAACAUUGUGAUAAAUAUCUUGGACUGUAAACUAUUUUGAUUUAUUCAGCAAGAAAUAUGUUUCAAUGAAUUCCAAUGCAAUUAUUUGUGGUCGUGAAAGAAUAGUUAUAUGAGUUGUUGUGAUGGAAAAGGGAUUUGGUAAAUUUGCUUCGUGUUGCAUACUCAAGCCAGAGCCAUGGUCAGAGCUCUUAUUCCUCUGACGACUUGCCCAAGACUACUGUGAUGACUGUCAACCAAGGUUCAAUUAUAAAAAGUCUGGACUUCCAUCCACUUCAGCAAAUUCUACUUCUUGGUAUGGGAUGCAGUCAGGAAUGGAAUUGUUUAUGAUUUUUCUGCACCAAUUCUGAUGUUCACAAGUAGGCCUUGGAUUUAUAGUCUGGUAUAAGAUUUUGAAUUUUGUUAAUGCCAACAUCUUAAUAUAGAACACCGUACCAUAGUGAUAUGGAAAUACAGCAUAAUAUAUAACUAUUUCCUCCGUUUUGGUGUAGAGGUAUUGGUUUGAUACCGGUACGCCCGAAAUUUUGAAUUUUGUUGGCUCAUCACUAUUUUACUUAAACCACAUACUAUUCCUCUACCAAAAUGUACACCAUUGCUAUAAUUUUGCUACUGCUCAUCACAUUAUUACAGUCUUUUUUACAUUUGCAGUAGUGUCUUCUCUAUUACUGCAUUAUAUUUUCCUUACUAUGCUAUUACAUUAAGG